AAAAAAAAAAAAAAAAAAAAAAAAAAAAAAAAAAAAAAAAGGGGA
rnacentral:rRNA from 13 species